ensembl:lncRNA
UAAAUGUGUGAUAUCUGAAGAGAAAACACGUGGUUUUCGGGUUAAAUGGGGGAUUCUCGAAGAGAAAACGCGUGAUUUUUGCUUAAAUGGGGGAUUUGCAAAGAGAAAACGCGUGAUUUUCGGUUAAAUGGGGGAUUUGCGAAGAGAAAACGCGUGAUUUUCGGUUAAAUGGGGGAUUUGCGAAGAGAAAACGCGUGAUUUUCGGGUUAAAUGGGGGAUUCUCAAAGAGAAAACGCGUGAUUUCCGGUUAAAUGGGGGAUUUCUGAAGAGAAAAUGCGUGAUUUUCGCUUAAAUGGUGUAUUUGAGAAGAGAAAUUUCGAGAUUUUCGCAUAAAUGGGGGAUUUGCGAAGAGAAAACGCUUGAUUUUCACUUAAAUUGACGAUUCGCAAAGAGAAAACGCGA